CACGUAGGGGACGAGCGUUGUCCGGAUUCAUUGGGCGUAAAGCGCGCGUAGGCGGCUCGGAAAGUCGGUCGUGAAAUGCCGGGGCUCAACCCCGGGACUGCGUCCGAUACUCUCGAGCUGGAGGCAGGUAGGGGAGAUCGGAAUUCCUGGUGUAGCGGUGAAAUGCGCAGAUAUCAGGAGGAACACCGGUGGCGAAGGCGGUUCUCUGGGCAUUACCUGACGCUGAGGAGCGAAAGUGUGGGGAGCGAACAGG
rnacentral:rRNA from 1 species